rnacentral:rRNA from 1 species
AGUGAACGCUGGCGGCAGGCCUAACACAUGCAAGUCGAACGGCAGCACGGCAGUAGCAAUACUGUGGGUGGCGAGUGGCGGACGGGUGAGGAAUACAUCGGGAUCUACCCUGUUGUGGGGGGAUAACGUAGGGAAACUUACGCUAAUACCGCAUAAGAACUGAGGUUGAAAGCGGCGGACCGCAAGGCGUCGCGCGAUUGGAUGAACCGAUGUCCGAUUAGCUAGUUGGCGGGGUAAAGGCCCACCAAGGCGACGAUCGGUAGCUGGUCUGAGAGGACGACCAGCCACACUGGAACUGAGACACGGUCCAGACUCCUACGGGAGGCAGCAGUGGGGAAUAUUGGGACAAUGGGCGGCAAGCCUGACCCCAGCAACGCCGCGUGGAGGAAGA